rnacentral:rRNA from 1 species
CGGUUGAUCCCGCCGGAGAUCACUGCUAUCAGGGUUCGAUUAAGCCAUGCAAGGCGAGAGUGGACUCCCACUCGCCGAUCAGCUCCGUAUCACGCAGCCAACCUGCCGUUAAGAGGAGGAUCAUCCCGGCGAACUGGGGCUAAUACUCUAUCAGCUAACAAUUACAGGAGUGUAUUGUUAGCGAAAGCUUCCGCGCUUAACGAUGGGGCUGCGGCCUAUUAUGGCUGUUGUUAGUGUAAAAUACUAACAAACCGAUAACAGGUACGGGCCAUGAGAGUGGAAGCCCGGAGAUGCCUUCUGAGACAUGAAGGCAGGUCCUACGGGACGCAGCAGGCGCGAAAACUUUCCAAUGCCUUAACGGGCGAGAAGGGAACCCUGAGUGAUUAUGCAAUGCAUAAUCUUUUGUCUUGUCUAAAUAACAAGACGAAUAAGUGGUGGGUAAGACGGGUGCCAGCCGCCGCGGUAAUACCCGCGCCACAAGUGGUGAUCACGUUUAUUGGGUCUAAAGCGUCCGUAGCCGGUUUGAUAAGUCCCUGGUGAAAUCCUAUAGUAAACUAUAGGGCUUGCUGGGGAUACUAUCAGACUUGGGACCAGGAGAGGGUGAAGGUAUUCCAUGAGUAGGGGUUAAAUCCUUUAAUCCAUGGAAGACCACCGGUGGCGAAGGCGUUCACCUAGAACGGGUCCGACGGUGAGGGACGAAAGCUGGGGGAGCAAAUGGGAUUAGAUACCCCAGUAGUCCCAGCUGUAAACCAUGCCUGUUUGGUGUUGUGAGUCCUAUAGGGGCUUGCAGUGCCGGAGUGUAGAUGUUAAACAGGCCACCUGGGGAGUACGACCGCAAGGUUGAAACUUAAGGGAAUUGGCGGGGGAGCAC